GACGGAGGGUGCAAGCGUUGUUCGGAAUUACUGGGCGUAAAGCGCGUGUAGGCGGUCCGAUAAGUCGAGUGUGAAAGCCCGAGGCCCAACCUCGGAAGUGCAUUCGAAACUGUCGGGCUUGAGUACGGGAGAGGGAAGUGGAAUUCCUGGUGUAGAGGUGAAAUUCGUAGAUAUCAGGAGGAACACCGGUGGCGAAGGCGGCUUCCUGGACCGAUACUGACGCUGAGAAGCGAAAGCGUGGGGAGCAAACAGG
rnacentral:rRNA from 1 species